UGUGAGUGAAUUCCUUUCUUUUUUCGCAGCGCCCGCUUAGAAUAUGAUUCUUUCCUCCUUUUGGUCAGGAUGGUGUCGUGAGGACUCAGCUGGCGGCCAUUCUGGAGAACCAGCCGCGCGUCCACUUCGAGGAAGGAAUCGCCACGAACUUCACUGUAGAACAAGUAAGAAGAAAAACUCGAGAGAUUUCUUUCAAUAAGCUGGAAGGAAGGAGGAACUCUUACUUUGCUUUGCUUUUGUUUGCGCAGGCCAUGCAAGGCAUGCGGAGCUCCAGGUUUUGUUUGCACCCAGCCGGCGACACGCCUUCCUCGUGCAGGCUCUUUG
rnacentral:lncRNA from 1 species